UACGAAGGGGGCUAGCGUUGCUCGGAAUUACUGGGCGUAAAGCGCACGUAGGCGGUCUUUUAAGUCGGGUGUGAAAUCCUGGAGCUCAACUCCAGAACUGCCUUCGAUACUGGAAGACUUGAGUCCGGGAGAGGUGAGUGGAACUGCGAGUGUAGAGGUGAAAUUCGUAGAUAUUCGCAAGAACACCAGUGGCGAAGGCGGCUCACUGGCCCGGUACUGACGCUGAGGUGCGAAAGCGUGGGGAGCAAACAGG
rnacentral:rRNA from 1 species